rnacentral:rRNA from 1 species
UACGGGGGGGGCAAGCGUUGUUCGGAAUUACUGGGCGUAAAGGGCUCGUAGGCGGCCAACUAAGUCGGACGUGAAAUCCCUCGGCUUAACCGGGGAACUGCGUCCGAUACUGGAUGGCUUGAGUUUGGGAGAGGGAUGCGGAAUUCCAGGUGUAGCGGUUAAAUGCGUAGAUAUCUGGAGGAACACCGGUGGCGAAGGCGGCAUCCUGGACCAACACUGACGCUGAGGAGCGAAAGCCAGGGGAGCAAACGGG